AACGUAGGGUGCAAGCGUUGUCCGGAAUUACUGGGUGUAAAGGGAGCGCAGGCGGGAAGGUAAGUUGGAUGUUUAAUCUACGGGCUCAACCCGUAUCAGCAUUCAAAACUAUUUUUCUUGAGUGGUGCAGAGGUAGGCGGAAUUCCCGGUGUAGCGGUGGAAUGCGUAGAUAUCGGGAGGAACACCAGUGGCGAAGGCGGCCUGCUGGGCACUAACUGACGCUGAGGCUCGAAAGCAUGGGUAGCAAACAGG
rnacentral:rRNA from 2 species